rnacentral:lncRNA from 1 species
ACUCUACCAUUUACCUUUAGCAUAGGACCUUGGAUUCACCACUACCCUUCCUAUUCGUUAUUUACCACCCUUAUUCACUAGUUGAUACUAGACAACUCCAGGAAUCUCAUUCCCCUUUUUGUUAAACACACUUAGCCGCUUUCCCUUGGGAAAAUAUAAAUUACGAUACCUUGGAAUACUCCUUGGUGAAGUGCUACAGCGGUACAUUCUGUGCGCUUAAGGAAUUAUCCGAUAGUAAAUAGAGUUACCCUACCAGGGCACUUCUGGCGC